CUGACGCGGGGCUCGAACUCACGGACCGCGAGAUCGUGACCUGGCUGAAAUCGGACGCUUAACCGACUGCGCCACCCAGGCGCCCCGCUAUUUUUAUUUUUUUAUUCUGAACUUAGAAUCACGUAAUAGUAGUGCACGAAGGGCAUUCGAGAUUAUCUAUUUCUGUCCCAUUUGAAAGGAAACAUAGAGCCUGAGAAAGUAAAUGAAUUGUUUCAGAUCACUCCUUUGUUACUGAUCAAGACAUGAGAGUUACUUGGUUUCUUGAUUCCCAAGAUGCCUCCUUUGCACAGCUAAAACAAGUUUCUUAUCAAAAGGUUAUGAAAUUGCAACUAAUUUGGACAGUUUAAAAAAAACUUAUUAGAAUACUGAUUCUCUUUUUCAGAAAUUGUUCAACAAUACUUCCAGGAUCAUGUUGGUAGGAAAAUAGAUAAUGCAAUCUUAGUUUUCUAACCACAGGAGUUUAAAGAACACACUCCUAUAUUAGUAUUCUGAAUGUAUGAAUUGGUUGUAUUUUAAGUUUUUUUGUGUGUGCUUAAAUCAUAGGUAAAUUAUCAAUAUAAUCAAUGGGAUGUGUAUGUUUACUUUCACCUACUCAAAAACUACAUGUCAAAGCUGAAUAUGAUCUAGUCACUGAUAUGUUUCCAUGUUGUUUAGAUUGCCUCUUUUGUGGUGCAUUUUAGAAAGGUGAAUCCAGGGCCACCUGGGUGGCUCAUUUGGUUAAGUGGCGGACUUAGGCUCUGGUCAUGAUCUCAUGGCUUGUGAGUUCGAGCCCCAAAUAGGGUUCUGUGCUAACAGCUCAGAGCCUGGAGCCUGCUUCGGAUUCUGUGUCUCCCUCUCUCUCAGCCUCUCCCCCACUCAUGUGUGCGUGCUCGCGCUCUCUCAAAAAUAAGUAAACAUUAAAAAGAAAUAAAUAGAAAGGUGAAUCCAGGAACUGCAAGGCAGGCCAUAUUUUCCUGACUUUAUUCUUGCUUCCUUCUUCCCAGCUCUACCUUUACACUUCUCUACACUUUUCCAAACCAGAAAAUGAACAGAUCCCAGAGCUGGACACCAAUAAGGAAAGAAGCAAUGGCCUACUGGGGACAGAACCAGGCUCCCAGACAAGAUCCUGUUCUCAAGGGUCCUGAUGACAAGCUUACUAUACCUAGUGAUUCUAGGAAGACAGAGCAUGUUCCUGGACAAAAGUCUUACUCCGGGAACCGUGGAGGCAGGAGUGUAGGUGUGGCCCCACAGUUCCCUGUGAUGGUCAUGGCAAGCUUAGGACCUUCUGGGGCUUGGCAGAGUUCCCCUUCUUCCACAGGCAGCUCAACAGUCUGGCCUCAAACUACUCUCUCACUUUUGACAUAUUCUCCGAAGGGAAAGUCUAGAGAAUCAGGAAGUCAGAGACAAAAUCCCAUCCCAGGACAGUCCCUUAGGAUACUAACUGGCUUCUCUGGGGGAAGACCUAGGGCUAUCUGGGCAAUUUGACCACCACCUCCUGCAGAAAUCAUUGCAGGAAUGUCUAGAAAGGGAAGAACCAUUGAGGCCAAUGAUCAAGAUGCUUCUACAAGCUUUUGUAAAAUUCCAACACCCACAGAGUCCCCAGGAGCUACUUCUUGAUAUGAAAGAUCCACAAUCAGACAUGAGACAGCUGUUACAGGUUAUGCUUCUGGAUUUUCCUUCUUGGCAUUUGCUCGUAGAUGGGAGCCUCAAGAGUAUACUUCAGCAAUAUCUUUCAUCCUGGGGCCAGCAGCCCAGCUGGGCUAGGGAGAAUGGCAGGGGCAGGUGCCGUGGCCCUGUCUGCCCCCAUUCUGGUAUCAGCAGCAGCCCCACGGCCAGCGGGCUGGCUGGAGAGAACAGCAGGGGCGGAUGCCACAGCCCUGUGUGCCCAUAGUCCAGUAUCAGCAGCAGCCCCAGGGUCAGCAGCUUGGCCAGAUGCUUCAGGCCCACCUGCCCCCAUUCUGGUAUCAGAGGCUGCUGCUGGGCCAGCAGCCUGGCAGGAGAGAACAACAGAGGCAGAUGUCGCAGCCCUGUCUGCCCAUGGUCCAGUAUCAACAGCAGCAGGGGCAGAUGCUGUGGCCCUGUCUGCCCCCAUUCUGGUAUCAGCAGCCGCCCCAUGGCCAGUGGGCUGGCUGGAGAGAACAGCAGGGGCAGAUGCUGCGGCCCUGUCUGCCCACGGUCCAGAAUCAGCAGCAGCUCAUCUCAGAAGGCCAGCAGUCUUGGGAGGCUGCAACCCCACCACCUCCAUCCCAGGGAGAAGCACAAGGGGAGAGGCGACUGCCAAUUCUUCAGUAGUCCCUGAUCCUGGAGCACGGGACGCAGCUGCCUCAGCAAUAGUCCCUAAAUUAGUGCUCCUUUUGGAGACUGUUCUCCAGAUACAUAAACCUCCAUGCAUGAGCAUCUCCACCCACUGCCACAGCUGUGGCUUUGUAGCCGCACUAGCAAUCUCUGAAAUUGUGAAGGAAUUGUGAAGGAAAUGCAGUGCUUAAAAUUAUAGAUCAGUUUCUACUUGUGCAAGUCAAGAAGGAUAUGCACUGGAAACUAACUUGAAUUUUUCCAGAAAAAUUAAGAACUGUGCCAACAACAGGAAUAACUGCUAGCAUAGAUGGACACACAAUGCUAGGUAUAAAAAAGUCCAACCAUGUGUUUUCAGACAAUAUAGUCCCAAAAGUCGCAAGAGGGGCAUAUACAGCAAAGACUAGACUCUCUAGAUCAUAGGAAAUGAAGCCUUUAGUCACCCUGCUGACAAUAAUUAGAUGAAAAGUAGGUGUAAGGAAGUAAAGGGCAGACUGUGAGUGGACAGCCUAUGAACAGACUUGAUGGACACAGAAAUGGGGAGACUGCUCUUUUAAAAAAUAAACUUUUUAUUGAAGUAUAACAUAGAUAAAAGUGCCCAAAUUGUAAGUAUACAGCACAACUCAUCUUCAUAAAGUGAACACACUUGCAUAACCACCAGUUGGUUCAAGAAAUUCAGUAUUACCGAUACUACAGAUGUCACUCUUGUGCCGUCCCUACCCCUCCAGUAUUAGCUAUUAUUCUCACUUCUAACCUCAUGCAUUUUUUUUUCUGCUUUUGAUGUAUUUUUAAUGCCCAACCAGCUAAAUACCACCAAGAACAACAACUAAGUUCAGGUGUAGGCUUAUUGGCUUGCUACAGUAAGAGGGCAUCUCAGGAACUUGAGUGCAUCUGGUAAGAAGAGGGAGCAGGGAAAGGCUGGGCUUAGGUUGAAUAAUUCUGAGGAGUUAGGGGAAGUUGGGAUCAGCUCUAAAUUGGUAGCUGUCAUAAGGCAGCUUAGCAAUUAGGUAUCUCAGUAAUGUCUGUUCAGCAGAUGGGAACAGCAAGGUAGUUUAGUUCAGGUGUAGGCUUAUUGGCUUGCUGCAAUAAGAGAGGGCAUCUCAGCAACUUGAGUGCAUCUGGUGAGAAGAGGGAGCAGGGAAACACUGGGCUUAGGUUGAGUAACUCUGAGGAGUUAGGAGAAGUUGGGAUCAGCUCUAAAAUGGUAGCUGUCAUAAAGCAGCUGAGCAAUUAGGUAUCUCAGUAAUGUUUGCUCAGCAAAUGGGAACAGCAAGUUAGGACUGGGGCAUCAUUAGUAAAAAGGCAGCAGUAACUUGAAGAAGGGGGUCAUUAGGACAUUUUACAUCUGCAGCAUGACCUUGGGAGAAAUAUUUUCUAUUAACUUUGCAGCUGGCUUUAUGCCUAUUAGCAGAUAAUAGAUAUUAUAAGCAACAGAUGAUUUUUUACUUUCAAUCUUGAACUAAUUCUACUCAUUUGGUAUAAAUAAAAUCACUCAAUAUACA